rnacentral:rRNA from 1 species
GGCUCAGGACGAACGCUGGCGGCGUGCUUAACACAUGCAAGUCGAGCGGAAAGGCCCUUCGGGGUACUCGAGCGGCGAACGGGUGAGUAACACGUGAGCAACCUGCCCUUGGCUUUGGGAUAACCCUCGGAAACGGGGGCUAAUACCGAAUAUCCAUCUUUCAUCGCAUGGUGGUUGGUGGAAAGUUUUUCGGCUGGGGAUGGGCUCGCGGCCUAUCAGCUUGUUGGUGGGGUGAUGGCCUACCAAGGCGACGACGGGUAGCCGGCCUGAGAGGGCGACCGGCCACACUGGGACUGAGACACGGCCCAGACUCCUACGGGAGGCAGCAGUGGGAAUAUUGCACAAUGGGCGGAAGCCUGAUGCAGCGACGCCGCGUGAGGGAUGACGGCCUUCGGGUUGUAAACCUCUUUCAGCAGGGACGAAGCGCAAGUGACGGUACCUGCAGAAGAAGCGCCGGCCAACUACGUGCCAGCAGCCGCGGUAAGACGUAGGGCGCGAGCGUUGUCCGGAUUUAUUGGGCGUAAAGAGCUCGUAGGCGGCUUGUCGCGUCGACUGUGAAAACCUGCGGCUCAACCGUGUGGUCUGCAGUCGAUACGGGCAGGCUAGAGUUCGGUAGGGGAGACUGGAAUUCCUGGUGUAGCGGUGAAAUGCGCAGAUAUCAGGAGGAACACCGGUGGCGAAGGCGGGUCUCUGGGCCGAUACUGACGCUGAGGAGCGAAAGCGUGGGGAGCGAACAGGAUUAGAUACCCUGGUAGUCCACGCUGUAAACGUAGGGCGCUAGGUGUGGGGGGCCUCUCCGGUUCUCUGUGCCGCAGCUAACGCAUUAAGCGCCCCGCCUGGGGAGUACGGCCGCAAGGCUAAAACU